rnacentral:rRNA from 1 species
GAUGAACGCUGGCGGCGUGCUUAACACAUGCAAGUCGAACGGAACUUAUCUGAUAGAGGAUUCGUCCAAUUGAUUAUAAGUUUAGUGGCGGACGGGUGAGUAACGCGUGAGUAACCUGCCUUGGAGUGGGGAAUAACACAGAGAAAUUUGUGCUAAUACCGCAUAAUGCAGUUGGGUCGCAUGGCUCUGACUGCCAAAGAUUUAUCGCUCUUAGAUGGACUCGCGUCUGAUUAGCUAGUUGGCGGGGUAACGGCCCACCAAGGCGACGAUCAGUAGCCGGACUGGAGAGGUUGGCCGGCCACAUUGGGACUGAGACACGGCCCAGACUCCUACGGGAGGCAGCAGUGGGGAAUAUUGGGCAAUGGGCGCAAGCCUGACCCAGCAACGCCGCGUGAAGGAAGAAGGCUUUCGGGUACGUAAAGACUCUAUCAGCAAGGAAGAAAAAAGACGGUAACUUGACUAAGAAGCCCCGGCUAACUACGUGCCAGCAGCCGACGG